rnacentral:rRNA from 1 species
GAAUGAACGCUGGCGGCAUGCCUAACACAUGCAAGUCGAACGAGACCUUCGGGUCUAGUGGCGCACGGGUGCGUAACGCGUGGGAAUCUGCCCUUGGGUUCGGAAUAACAGUUAGAAAUGACUGCUAAUACCGAAUGAUGUCGUAAGACCAAAGAUUCAUCGCCCAGGGAUGAGCCCGCGUAGGAUUAGCUAGUUGGUGGGGUAACGGCCCACCAAGCCAACGAUCAGAACUGGUGUGAGAGCACGACCAGUCACACGGGCACUGAGACACGGGCCCGACUCCUACGGGAGGCAGCAGUAAGGAAUAUUGGUCAAUGGACGAAAGUCUGAACCAGCCAUGCCGCGUGAAGG